CGGUGCGUAACACGUGAGCAACCUACCGAAGUGUGGGGGAUAGCCGGCCUAACGGCCGAGUAAUACCGCAUACGAUUCCGAAGAGGCAUUUCUUUGGAAUAAAACCUACGGGACACUUCGAGGGGCUCGCGGCCUAUCAGCUAGUUGGUGAGGUAACGGCUCACCAAGGCGACGACGGGUAGCUGGUCUGAGAGGAUGGCCAGCCACAUUGGGACUGAGAUACGGCCCAG
rnacentral:rRNA from 1 species